AAGAAGAGAAAGAGAGCACAAGAGAAAUUGGCUGCUGCAUCUCUAAGCAUUGGUGUUGGAAGCUUUUCUGAUCCAUCGGAUAUCCCUGGAUUAGCUCACUUUCUUGAACAUAUGGUGUUUAUGGGCAGUAGCAAAUACCCUGAUGAGAACUCAUUUGAUGCUUUUGUAAUGCGUCACGGCGGAAACAACAAUGCAUCU